UACGUAGGGUGCGAGCGUUAAUCGGAAUUACUGGGCGUAAAGUGUGCGCAGGCGGCCACGCAAGUCGAGUGUGAAAUCCCCGAGCUUAACUUGGGAAUUGCGCUCGAAACUACGUGGCUGGAGUGUGGCAGAGGAAGGUGGAAUUCCACGUGUAGCGGUGAAAUGCGUAGAUAUGUGGAGGAACACCGAUGGCGAAGGCAGCCUUCUGGGCCAACACUGACGCUCAUGCACGAAAGCGUGGGGAGCAAACAGG
rnacentral:rRNA from 1 species